GAGUUCCCACUUCAGCAGCACAUACACUAAAAUUAGAUUGAUACAAAGAAGAUAAGCAUGGCCAUGCACAAGGAUGAUAUGCAAACCUAUUAUUAUGGUGAAACUUGU